rnacentral:tRNA from 4 species
GGGAGCAUAGCUCAGCUGGGAGAGCAUCUGCCUUACAAGCAGAGGGUCAUAGGUUCGAGCCCUAUUGCUCCCACCA